UACAGAGGGUGCGAGCGUUAAUCGGAAUUACUGGGCGUAAAGCGUGCGUAGACGGUUGGAUAAGUCGGAUGUGAAAGCCCCGGGCUCAACCUGGGAAUUGCAUUCGAGACUGUCCAGCUAGGAUGCGGAAGAGGGAAGCGGAAUUUCCGGUGUAGCGGUGAAAUGCGUAGAUAUCGGAAGGAACACCAGUGGCGAAAGCGGCUUCCUGGUCCAGCAUCGACGUUCAGGCACGAAAGCGUGGGGAGCAAACAGG
rnacentral:rRNA from 1 species